rnacentral:rRNA from 1 species
UGGUGACUAUAGCAAGGAGGUCACACCUGUUCCCAUGUCGAACACAGAAGUUAAGCUCCUUAGCGUCGAUGGUAGUC